CUAAUAUACUAAAAACUACCAAUGCACAUACUCCUCAACCAAACAUUACCCCAUCCCACAAAUCCCCUCCUAACAGUAAUACUAAAUACAUAUGAACUAUCACAUCACCUUAUCAUAAUAAUAACCACAUUACCCACAUAUCAUUUAAUGCUAUUUACAUUACCUAUGCCCCCUUAAUGCCCAAACCCUGCCCAUUCUCAUUAUUUCACUUAAUUCUUGCUCCACUCACUAGCCCAAUCAUAUUACCCCAUAAUCAUAAUCCACUUAAAAUUCCUACUUCAUUCCCAUCCUAUAAACUCUCAUCUCAGUCCCCUCAUCCCCCUAAUCACCCCUUACUCCACAACCUUCUUCUCAUACCCAUAAAUCCUUCACCCCAUCCUCAUAACCCCUCUUAAUCACAUGAACAUGUACCAAAAAUUUCAUUGCCACCAAAACCCAAUCACAUAAUUAACCCUCACACUGCCAAGGGUUAUUUAACUAUUUUCUUGCUGGCUGCUAGCACUGCCAGUGGUCAAAUAGUAUUUUCUUUGUAAUUCAGUCCAGAUCAAAAUUAAGAAUUCAGGUCCGGAUUUUGGUAAUCCGUCAGUAUUUAGUCAGGCUAGAAUCCAGUCCAAAUUCAGGCCCAUUUGGUUUCUGAAUUGCAAAUAUAUUGUUAAAUACAAUGAACAAUAUCCAGAUUUUGUCAUGUGAAUGCAGUGCCAAUUGGUACAGGGAAAUCUGCAAGACAUAUAUUUCCAUGGGCUAAAGACAUUCCAUGGGAUAAAAGCCCAUAUGAGCAUCUUAUGCAGGAUUGCAAGAGGAGGGAGUACAAAAGGUAAGUUUUAACCAAUUUUGGGGCAGUUUCGAUUUAAAUACAUGUAAGGUUCUAUUGGUGUUUUUAGAAUAGUAAUGUAAUGUUUUACAAUGUCCAGUUAGGGUAGAUGAUUGGUGCAGCACAACGCAAGUUACCGGAGCUGCUUGAAGUGCAGGUACAUAAGGUGUAUAAAAAUGGGGUGUAGACGGUGAAGACUGCCACGGAUGCGCUAGAGGAAGGAAAAGUAAAUUUAAAAUUAUAUAUGCAUAAUGCCCAC